UUACAAUUUCUUAGUUCGGCGAGUUAACGAUCAUCCUUGCAGAACUCUUACAUGACCCUGCAAAAAGGUUUGAUUUACCUUAACUUUCUGUGCAUGGAAUCAUGGAUCUUCAUCAUCAAAUACAAAUUAUCAAUAUCAGAAUUUGAAUCACUUUUGAAACCAGAAGAAAGGACAAUAUUGGAGCAAAAUGAAGCUCCUGAUCAUCUUACUAAAAUAUCAAUUGUUAGUUAGUUAAACCUUUGGCGGAUGAUAAACCAAUUCUAGGAUUCUCUUGAGUCUGUCAGACAACCACCACAGCGGGCCAUGCCGAAGUCAAGCUGAGAACAAUCAAAUCCACUUCUGUAGGGUUUGAGAUGCAAUCAGAUCCACUUGAGCUCUGGGGUUCUUGGUGAGUGUUAUUAGCUGACUUGCCUUAUCCUGGCUACUAUUGCUAACCAUGUUCUCUCGAACUGUUUUGGUUAUUGUGUUUAGCAGAGGUUGCCAGCCAAGACAACUUAAUUAGUGGCCGUAACAUUUGAAAAUGGAGGAGAGAUGUAUUUAGCUUAGUCAAAUUCUUAGUUACAGGCCUUAUUCAGGUGCUGCUAUUUUUUUUUUAGCUAAAGGAAUCAUUCUUUAAAGCUUUACACAAUGCUCCAUUAUUUCUGUCAUUUGCUUAUCUCUUUUCAUGCAUUUUCUUCGUUAUUUUCUGUUCCAAUGCAAUUGCAAUAUACCGUUUUUUAGUGAUUCAAAAUGGUUGAUGACAUGUGGAUAUACUCUUAUUUAUUUUUCUCUCUUUAUGACCUGUGAAUUAUUGUGUCUAUGACAUGUCUCACUUGCUUCUUUUCGAACGAAAGUUGUCAUUGGCUUUCCUUUUGAGUCUCUGGCACACCAAAUCGGGUAUUAAAAAAAGCCUAUUCUUCUUCUAAGGUUGAGCUUCAACAAGAAGGUACGUAAAUCAACAGUGGUGGUACUUAUUUGAUUGGGUCUCUGUCUCAUGGUGGCUGCCAUCGGUUAAGUGCACACAAUAAUAUUUAUGGAAAUAGCUUCGAAGAUUGCGAAUGAAAUCACAGUAGGUCAGAGAUUUGCUGCCUAUAUGGUUAUUCUGAUGCGAAAAGAAGGCGUUGUUCUACACAAAAAGUUCUUUUGGGACAGGUGCCUGACAUUGUUGAUGGUGCUGUUGCUGGAGAUACUGUAGCUCUUCAUUGUAGUUUAUACUCUUAUCUAUGUGAAGACGAGGUCACUUUGAUCUUCGUGCAUAUGAGAAGAAUAUACAAAGACCCAUGGUUGAUUUUUACUUCAUAUGUACGUGUCUACAAUUAGAACCAGAGACAACAUAUACUAUCAGUCUUGGCACAAUACUUAAUCUAUGUACUUUUGGGGAAAUUAAACUUAUAGUUCUCAUUAUAUGAAUUUCUUGAUAGAAGUAUAUGAAUUCAUGGUCCAAAUAAUUUUCAAGAACUUGAAUAGGAAAGCAAUAUUUAAAUUUCUCAAAUUGUCUGAAAGAUCGGUUGCUAACAUAGUCCAUUUCUCAAAUUAUCUGAAAGUUCACCUGUAUUGGAAUGCUUUUUCGUUUUUAUUCAUAUUGUUCUUCUCAAAUCGGGCAAGGCGGGGAGUUAAAUGAAGAAUUCUGGUCUGGGGCGAAGCUGAGCUGUACCAAAUCAAAUGGGGACUUGCGCGAAGUCGAGCUUUACCAAAUCAUAUCGGGACUAGGGCGAGGCGAAGCCGAGAUUUACCAAAUCAUAUCAGGACUUGGGCGAGGCGAAGCCGAGCUUUACCAAAUCAAAUCGGGACUGGGGCGAGGCGAAGCCGAGCUUUACCAAAUCAAAUCGGGACUGGGGCGAGGUGAAGCCGAGCUUAACUAAAUCAUAUCGGGACUGGAGCGAGGCGAAGCCGAGAUUUACCAAAUCAAAUGGGGACUUGGGCGAAGCCAAGCUUUACCAAAUAAAAAAUAUGGUUCAAAGAAAGAGGCAUUGAUGCAUUGUAUUUGUAGUUUGUAGUUGUAGAUUGAAUUGGUGAACCAAGUUUGAGAAGUUGCCGGGGGCGUAGCACGGGCACAAAAUC